ACUUUCCCUCGCAUUUCAUUUCAUUUCAUCGUUCUCAUCGUUCAUAAAAGGAUAAUUUUGUGGACUUACAUUAAACUUGCAAAAAAUAAACAAUAUUAAAAGCGUGAAAAAGAAAAAAAGAUAUUUAAAAAAUUAAUAAUAUACAUAUGUACAUAAAAAGUAAAAAAAAAAGUCAUACAAUUCAAAGUGUGGUUUUUGAAUGCCGACGCUGUCGCAUUGUCCAGUGGAUGCAAUCCUUUAAGCAAUGAGCAAUAUCAAUCAAAAGCAUUGAUUAUUUAAAAUAAAAAUAAACUAACUGCUACUGCGGUGGACUAUUGUGAAGGAUUACACAAAUAUAUAAAAUAACAUUAAACUUUAUACCCAAACUAAGACUGAGCCUCCGAAGGAAAUUUUGAAUACAGUAUAUAGUCAUAAAUCCUCAUCUCAUUGGCAUCCUUGGAAGGCUUUUAACGUUUUCAGUUAAAUCUCGCCGUUCAAAAUGGAAACAAAAGGCAUGAAAAAAGGAAUAAUAAUAUUUGUGGAGUUAAAAGCUGCAGCUCCAAAAAAACUCAAGAGGUUUCAUUAUUCCAAAUCCCGAAGAAUAUUAAAAACUCGAAGGUAAUGUUGAAAAAAUGAUCUAUUGCCCUGCGGAUGACCAAGCCGUUCCCAACGAGAUUUGUAAUUUGCAAUAGACAUUUUCGAAAAGAGAUAUACGGGUAUCAGGUGUAGAGAAAAGGAGGAGAUUGGCACCACAUUCUAUGCCAACAAAAUUUCUUCCUUAUUUCUCUAAUACUCUAGAAGGACUUCGUGUUAAGCGAAUAAUAAAACGCUAUUUAAAUGACGUUAGAAGAUGUUCUGUCAUAAGCCAAAUAAAUAAAAAUCAAGUUCCUGAAGAAAACGAAGUUGAAGAUCAUCUAUUAGAAGAUGAAAACGUGGCGGAAAGUGUCAAUGAUUUGACUUUGAAUGACAAAUGCGUUCAAGUCGGUUCUAGUUCGUUUUCUAGUGUCACCACAACAGCCCUUUGGGAUACUGAUAAAAAACUCAAUACCAUGACUGGACUACCUGAUUUUACUACUUUGGAUGCCCUUGUUUCAGCUUGUAUGAAAAUCCGACCAGAUGACAAGAUACUUAUGUCAAUGAAAGAUAGGAUUCUGUUGACAAUGCACAAAUUGAAGACUAAUUGCUAUUUUGCGGAACUUGCUGUUUCGUUUCAAGUGUCGGAUAAAACGGCUAAAUUGUAUUUCGCAGACACUAUUCAACUAUUAGCGAAAACAACAAAAAAGCUGAUACAUUGGCAAUCAAGAGAGGAAAAUAGUAGAAGCUAUCCAAAAUGCUUUAGACUCAAUUUCAAUUCUUAUAAUUCUGUGGCCUCAAUCAAUAACCGCUUAAGUCAAAAAAAAAAAACAAAAUUUAGUUUUACAAUAAUGCUCCGCAUUUUUUAAUUUGCCUCAAAAACAACUCAAUCUUUUCUUAACUCGAUCUAGAUAGUUUUAAUCUAUCGUUUUUAAUAGUUAAAAAAUUAAAAAGAUGUAGAUUUAGCAUUGGGUAGC